UGGGGAAUAUUGCACAAUGGGCGCAAGCCUGAUGCAGCCAUGCCGCGUGUAUGAAGAAGGCCUUCGGGUUGUAAAGUACUUUCAGCGGGGAGGAAGGGAGUAAAGUUAAUACCUUUGCUCAUUGACGUUACCCGCAGAAGAAGCACCGGCUAACUCCGUGCCAGCAGCCGCGGUAAUACGGAGGGUGCAAGCGUUAAUCGGAAUUACUGGGCGUAAAGCGCACGCAGGCGGUUUGUUAAGUCAGAUGUGAAAUCCCCGGGCUCAACCUGGGAACUGCAUUCGAAACUGGCAGGCUAAAGUCUUGUAGAGGCGGGUAGAAUUCCAGGUGUAGCGGUGAAAUCCGUAAAGAUCUGGAGGAAUACCGGUGGCGAAGGCGGCCCCCUGGACAAAGACUGACGCUCAGGUGCGAAAGCGUGGGGAGCAAACAGG
rnacentral:rRNA from 1 species